UACGGGGGGGGCAAGCGUUGUUCGGAAUUACUGGGCGUAAAGGGCUUGUAGGUGGCCAACUAAGUCAGACGUGAAAUCCCUCGGCUUAACCGGGGAACUGCGUCUGAUACUGGAUGGCUUGAGUGUGGGAGGGGGUAGGGGAAUUUCACGUGUAGGGGUAAAAUCCGUAGAGAUGUGAAGGAACACCGGAGGCGAAGGCGCCUACCUGGACGACUACUGACGCUGAGGCGCGAAAGCGUGGGGAGCAAACAGG
rnacentral:rRNA from 1 species